CCCUUAGAUGUCCUGGGCCGCACGCGCGCUACACUGAUGCAUUCAACGAGUCUACCUUGGCCGAGAGGCCUGGGCAACCUUUUAAACGUGCAUCGUGAUAGGGAUAGAUUAUUGCAAUUAUUAAUCUUGAACGAGGAAUUCCUAGUAAACGCAAAUCAUCAAUUUGCAUUGAUUACGUCCCUGCACUUUGUACACACCGCCCGCCGCACCUACCGAUUGAAUGGUCCGGUGAGGACUCGGGAUUUUUACCAGUUUCCUUCAUUGGGAAUUGGUGAGGAGAACUUGUCCAAACCUUAUCAUUUAGAGGAAGGUGAAGUCGUAACA
rnacentral:rRNA from 1 species